rnacentral:tRNA from 2 species
GGCCCCAUCGUCUAGCGGUCCAGGACACAACCCUUUCAAGGUUGAGAUCGCGGGUUCGAAUCCCGCUGGGGUCACCA